AUACGGAGGAUCCAAGCGUUAUCCGGAUUUAUUGGGUUUAAAGGGUGCGCAGGCGGCCUUAUAAGUCAGUGGUGAAAUCUCCCGGCUCAACCGGGAAACUGCCAUUGAUACUGUAAGGCUAGAAUACAGACGAGGUAGGCGGAAUGUAGCAUGUAGCGGUGAAAUGCUUAGAUAUGAUACAGAACACCGAUCGCGAAGGCAGCUUACCAGACUGUAAUUGACGCUAAGGCACGAAAGCGUGGGGAGCGAACAGGAUUAGAAACCCCAGUAGUCC
rnacentral:rRNA from 1 species